GAGUUUGAUUCUGGCUCAGGAUGAACGCUGGCGGCGUGCCUAACACAUGCAAGUCGAGCGCGGUUGUGCUUAGUAUUGAGUGUUUUAUUGAUAUAAAACAUUGAAUUCUAUGCACAACUGAGCGGCGGACGGGUGAGUAACGCGUGGGUAACCUGCCCUAUACACAUGGAUAACAUACUGAAAAGUUUACUAAUACAUGAUAAAAUAGUUUUUCGGCAUCGAAGAAUUAUCAAAGUGUUAGCGGUAUAGGAUGGACCCGCGUCUGAUUAGCUAGUUGGUGAGAUAACUGCCCACCAAGGCGACGAUCAGUAGCCGACCUGAGAGGGUGAUCGGCCACAUUGGAACUGAGACACGGUCCAAACUCCUACGGGAGGCAGCAGUGGGGAAUAUUGCACAAUGGGCGCAAGCCUGAUGCAGCAACGCCGCGUGAACGAUGAAGGUCUUCGGAUCGUAAAGUUCUGUUGCAGGGGAAGAUAAUGA
rnacentral:rRNA from 1 species